ACGCUGGCGGCGUGCCUAAUACAUGCAAGUAGAACGCUGAAGAGAGGAGCUUGCUCUUCUUGGAUGAGUUGCGAACGGGUGAGUAACGCGUAGGUAACCUGCCUUGUAGCGGGGGAUAACUAUUGGAAACGAUAGCUAAUACCGCAUAACAAUGGAUGACACAUGUCAUUUAUUUGAAAGGGGCAAUUGCUCCACUACAAGAUGGACCUGCGUUGUAUUAGCUAGUAGGUGAGGUAACGGCUCACCUAGGCGACGAUACAUAGCCGACCUGAGAGGGUGAUCGGCCACACUGGGACUGAGACACGGCCCAGACUCCUACGGGAGGCAGCAGUAGGGAAUCUUCGGCAAUGGGGGCAACCCUGACCGAGCAACGCCGCGUGAGUGAAGAAGGUUUUCGGAUCGUAAAGCUCUGUUGUAAGUCAAGAACGAGUGUGAGAGUGGAAAGUUCACACUGUGACGGUAGCUUACCAGAAAGGGACGGCUAACUACGUGCCAGCAGCCGCGGUAAUACGUAGGUCCCGAGCGUUGUCCGGAUUUAUUGGGCGUAAAGCGAGCGCAGGCGGUUUGAUAAGUCUGAAGUUAAAGGCUGUGGCUCAACCAUAGUUCGCUUUGGAAACUGUCAAACUUGAGUGCAGAAGGGGAGAGUGGAAUUCCAUGUGUAGCGGUGAAAUGCGUAGAUAUAUGGAGGAACACCGGUGGCGAAAGCGGCUCUCUGGUCUGUAACUGACGCUGAGGCUCGGAAGCGUGGGGAGCGAACAGGAUUAGAUACCCUGGUAGUCCACGCCGUAAACGAUGAGUGCUAGGUGUUGGAUCCUUUCCGGGAUUCAGUGCCGCAGCUAACGCAUUAAGCACUCCGCCUGGGGAGUACGACCGCAAGGUUGAAACUCAAAGGAAUUGACGGGGGCCCGCAC
rnacentral:rRNA from 1 species